UAAUUGGUCCGGACGUUGCGAACGUUAGGACGAAUUGGUCCUUCCGUUCGAAAAAAUGAGAGGUCCCUGACUGAGAUUGCCUCUGGACGCCGUUAAUUGCACUGUUGAUCGUCCCCUCAAGUGAAAAGGCUUCCCGCCCCUAAUUGCCCCAAAUUUCUGUUCGAUCAAACCCUAAUUGAGCUUGUUGCUUCCACUGCAAUCAUCAAAUUCACACAGACGCCUCAAGAUUUCUGCAAUUGAGAGUGUCGCCCGUGAUCUUCCGAAGUUGCAAUCGUAGUUCUUGGUCUUUUUCCGGUGAGCAGCAUCUGGGAUCAACCGCUGCGGGAGUUGGCUCGCUCUCGAAGGUUGUUCUGCUGCGUUGCACAUGGGCAGGAGGUUGCAGUUAUAUGUCAUGACGUGAAGCUGCUGAAGGAGAGAUUCAACUCGGGUGUUUCUCUCAGCAAGUCUAUUUCCUUUGGGCAAACAAGUUGCAUCUUAGCAUCCUCGAGCUCGUCCAUCAAUAGCAGUGUAUCCUCAGAUCGAAUUCCUGAUUAUGGAGAGACCUGCAAAGCUCCAAAUGAUAGUAGCCUGGAAUCGUCAAUUGAUGGUUCAUCCUCACGAAAGGAAUCAGAAGACAAGAACAUCGCUGGAGCAGAGCAAAAAGAGCUAUCGGAUGAAGGGUGGGAGCUCUAUGAGAAUUGAUGGAAGUUGAUUGCAGGCAAUGAAAUGAAAGACGGGAAUUUGUUAAUAAUCGUUUACGGUUCGGUUUGGUAGAGUACGAAUUGGCAUUUUGUACAGAGAAUAGAUCCAGAAUAAUUGACUGAGUCUUGCGUUCUGUUUCCUUUUGCGGGUGGUUGCUGCUGUUUAACUGAUACUACAUUGAUGGAAAUGUUCUUUGACUAUCUAUAUACAUAUAGGCUGCAUGUUUAUUUUUUGCUAUA